AAAGAACUUGAUUUCUAGUAUCACUGUUCAACGAAGUGCUAGAAGGUUGUGAUCUCAAGGGCAAGGAUCACAUAAUCCUCUUUGCAUCCAACAAGAGCUCAAACAGAACCCAUGGUUGAUGCUUAAUGGCCUUUUACUGAGUGAAGGAAGAAGCAUGUAGGCACUGAAGAGAGACCACAAUUUGCAUUUCACUCAUCUUUAUUGAAGGGGACAAUGGAAUAGGAAACAUUUAAGA